rnacentral:rRNA from 1 species
UACAGAGGGUGUGAGCGUUAAUCGGAAUUACUGGGCGUAAAGCGCACGUAGGCGGCUUGGUAUGUCGGGUGUGAAAUCCCCGGGCUCAACCUGGGAACUGCAUCCGAAACUGCCUUGCUCGAGUAUGGGAGAGGGAAGUGGAAUUUCCGGUGUAGCGGUGAAAUGCGUAGAUAUCGGAAGGAACAUCAGUGGCGAAGGCGACUUCCUGGACCAAUACUGACGCUCAGGUGCGAAAGCGUGGGGAGCAAACAGG